GACGAACCGUGCGAACGUUGUUCGGAUUCACUGGGCUUAAAGGGCGCGUAGGCGGCUCGCCAAGUCAGGGGUGAAAUCUUUCGGCUUAACCGGAAAACAGCUUCUGAUACUGGCGGGCUGGAGGGAGGUAGGGGCAGAUGGAACUCCGGUGGAGCGGUGAAAUGCGUAGAUAUCGGAAGGAACGCCGGUGGCGAAAGCGAUCUGCUGGACCUCAUCUGACGCUGAGGCGCGAAAGCCAGGGAGCAAACGGG
rnacentral:rRNA from 1 species